rnacentral:rRNA from 1 species
CAGCAGCCACGGUAAUACGUAGGGUGCAAGCGUUAAUCGGAAUUACUGGGCGUAAAGCGUGCGCAGGCGGUUUGUUAAGACAGAUGUGAAAUCCCCGGGCUCAACCUGGAAACUGCAUUUGUGACUGGCAAGCUAGAGUGUGGCAGAGGGGGGUGGAAUUCCGCGUGUAGCAGUGAAAUGCGUAGAUAUGCGGAGGAACACCGAUGGCGAAGGCAGCCCCCUGGGCCAACACUGACGCUCAUGCACGAAAGCGUGGGGAGCAAACAGGAUUAGAUACCCCUGUAGUCCCUGUCUCUUAUAC